rnacentral:ncRNA from 1 species
AACGAUAAAGGCAAACCCUGAGUGAUCAGGGGACGCAAAGUAAAGGAUCUUUAAUUAUACCGGUAGAAACGCAUCAUGAUGCGUUUCUCCUAUGAAUUAAAGAUAGCCCUACUACCGAAC